GACGAACGCUGGCGGCGUGCUUAACACAUGCAAGUCGAACGGAAAGGCCCUGCUUUUGUGGGGUGCUCGGGGGGCGGCGGGGUGAGUAACCCGUGAGUACCCUGCAACUGCCUUUGGGAUAACUUAAGGCCAGUGAGGCUAAUCCCGGAUAGGAGCUACUGCUGCUUGGUGGGGGUUGGUAAGAUUCGGCGGUUGGGGAUGGACAAGCGGCGUAUCAGCUUGUUGGUGGGGUAGUGGCUUACCAAGGCUUUGAAGGGUAGCCGGCCUGAGAGGGGGACAUGCCACAUUGGGACUGAGAUACGGCCCGGACUCCACCGGGAGGCAGGAGUGGGGAAUAUUACACUAUGGGCGGAAGCCUAAUGCAGCAACGCCGCGUGCGGUAUGACGGCCUGCGGUUUGUAUACCACUUUCGCCUUUGACGAAGCGUUAGUGACGGUAAUGGGUGAAUAAGCACCGGCUAACUACGUG
rnacentral:rRNA from 1 species